rnacentral:lncRNA from 1 species
CAUCGUGAGUUUCCUUUUUGCCCCUACCUGGUGCACCAAUCUGUUGUGGCCAAUUUUCUUAUCGCCUGUUCGUUGAGAACGAGCACAUGCAAAAUCAAGUCCAUACUGAUCGAAAUUAUCUCCGACGGAGACCCUCCGAUGCCUAAAUCAGAGAGGAAGACUGGGCAACAGAAUGAAUGAGAAUGGUGGCAGAACUCAGUGUAGA